UACACGACCGUACCGCAAACCGACACUGGUGCGCGAGAUGAGUAUUCUAAGGCGCUUGAGAGAACUCAGGAGAAGGAACUCGGCAAAUUGACACCGUAACUUCGGAAGAAGGUGUGCCUUUAGUAGGUGAACCAUUUACUUGGGGAGCCCAAUGAGGUUGCAAAAAAUCGGUGGCUGCGACUGUUUAAUAAAAACACAGCACUCUGCAAACACGAAAGCACGUAUAGGGUGUGACGCCUGCCCGGUGCUGGAAGAUUAAAUGAUGGGGUGCAAGCUCUUGAUUGAAGUCCCAGUAAACGGCGGCCGUAACAAUAACGGUCCUAAGGUAGCGAAAUUCCUUGUCGGGUAAGUUCCGACCUGCACGAAUGGCGUAACGAUGGCCACACUGUCUCCUCCUGAGACUCAGCGAAGUUGAAAUGUUUGUGAUGAUGCAAUCUCCCCGCGGAAAGACGGAAAGACCCCAUGAACCUUUACUGUAGCUUUGUAUUGGACUUUGAACAGAUCUGUGUAGGAUAGGUGGGAGGCUUUGAAGUGUGGUCGCUAGAUCGCAUGGAGCCAACGUUGAAAUACCACCCUGGUGUGUUUGAGGUUCUAACCUAGGCCCGUAAUCCGGGUCGGGGACAGUGCAUGGGCAGUUUGACUGGGGCGGUCUCCUCCCAAAGCGUAACGGAGGAGUUCGAAGGUACGCUAGGUACGGUCUGACAUCGUGCUAAUAGUGCAAUGGCAUAAGCGUGCUUAACUGCGAGACUGACAAGUCGAGCAGAUGCGAAAGCAGAACAUAGUGAUCCGGUGGUUCUGUAUGGAAGGGCCAUCGCUCAACGGAUAAAAGGUACUCUGGGGAUAACAGGCUGAUACCGCCCAAGAGUUCAUAUCGACGGCGGUGUUUGGCACCUCGAUGUCGGCUCAUCUCAUCCUGGGGCUGUAGCCGGUCCCAAGGGUAUGGCUGUUCGCCAUUUAAAGAGGUACGUGAGCUGGGUUUAAAACGUCGUGAGACAGUUUGGUCCCUAUCUUCCGUGGGCGCUGCAGAUUUGAGGAAGCCUGCUCCUAGUACGAGAGGACCGGAGUGGACACACCUCUGGUGUAUCGGUUGUCACGCCAGUGGCAUUGCCGAGUAGCUAUGUGGAAGAGAUAACCGCUGAAACAUCUAAGCGGGAAACUCGUUUCAAGAUGAGAUCUGCCGGGGCCUUGAGCCCCCUAAAGAGUCGUUCAAGACCAGGACGUUGAUAGGUCAGGUGUGGAAGCGCAGUAAUGCGUUAAGCUAACUGAUACUAAUUGCUCGUGCGGCUUGACCA
rnacentral:rRNA from 1 species